GAUGAACGCUGGCGGCGUGCCUAAUACAUGCAAGUCGAGCGAACAGACGAGGAGCUUGCUCCUCUGACGUUAGCGGCGGACGGGUGAGUAACACGUGGAUAACCUACCUAUAAGACUGGGAUAACUUCGGGAAACCGGAGCUAAUACCGGAUAAUAUAUUGAACCGCAUGGUUCAAUAGUGAAAGACGGUUUUGCUGUCACUUAUAGAUGGAUCCGCGCCGCAUUAGCUAGUUGGUAAGGUAACGGCUUACCAAGGCAACGAUGCGUAGCCGACCUGAGAGGGUGAUCGGCCACACUGGAACUGUGACACGGUCCAGACUCCUACGGGAGGCAGCAGUAGGGAAUCUUCCGCAAUGGGCGAAAGCCUGACGGAGCAACGCCGCGUGAGUGAUGAAGGUCUUCGGAUCGUAAAACUCUGUUAUUAGGGAAGAACAAAUAUGUAAGUAACUAUGCACGUCUUGACGGUACCUAAUCAGAAAGCCACGGCUAACUACGUG
rnacentral:rRNA from 1 species